GACGAACCGUGCGAACGUUAUUCGGAAUCACUGGGCUUAAAGCGCGUGUAGGCGGAUGGGGACGUCGGUCGCUGAAAUCCCCCGGCUCAACCGGGGAACUGGCCCCGAAACGCCCCGUCUGGAGGAACGUAGGGGGACCUGGAACUUCCGGUGGAGCGGUGAAAUGCGUUGAGAUCGGAAGGAACGCCCGUGGCGAAAGCGAGGUCCUGGACGUUUUCUGACGCUGAGACGCGAAAGCCAGGGGAGCAAACGGG
rnacentral:rRNA from 1 species